UACAGAGGGGGCGAGCGUUGUUCGGAAUUACUGGGCGUAAAGGGCGCGUAGGCGGCCCUCUAAGUCGAACGUGAAAUCCCCGGGCUCAACCCGGGAACUGCGUCCGAUACUGGAGGGCUCGAAUCCGGGAGAGGGAUGUGGAAUUCCAGGUGUAGCGGUGAAAUGCGUAGAUAUCUGGAGGAACACCGGUGGCGAAGGCGGCAUCCUGGACCGAGAUUGACACUGAUGAGCGAAAGCCAGGGGAGCAAACCGGGGAGUUAGAAAACCCCGGGUAGU
rnacentral:rRNA from 1 species